GAAUACCGGAGAAUGUUAUCACGGGAGACACACGGCGGGUGCUAACGUCCGUCGUGAAGAGGGAAACAACCCAGACCGCCAGCUAAGGUCCCAAAGUCAUGGUUAAGUGGGAAACGAUGUGGGAAGGCCCAGACAGCCAGGAUGUUGGCUUAGAAGCAGCCAUCAUUUAAAGAAAGCGUAAUAGCUCACUGGUCGAGUCGGCCUGCGCGGAAGAUGUAACGGGGCUAAACCAUGCACCGAAGCUGCGGCAGCGACACUAUGUGUUGUUGGGUAGGGGAGCGUUCUGUAAGCCUGUGAAGGUGGCCUGUGAGGGUUGCUGGAGGUAUCAGAAGUGCGAAUGCUGACAUAAGUAACGAUAAAGCGGGUGAAAAGCCCGCUCGCCGGAAGACCAAGGGUUCCUGUCCAACGUUAAUCGGGGCAGGGUGAGUCGACCCCUAAGGCGAGGCCGAAAGGCGUAGUCGAUGGGAAACAGGUUAAUAUUCCUGUACUUGGUGUUACUGCGAAGGGGGGACGGAGAAGGCUAUGUUGGCCGGGCGACGGUUGUCCCGGUUUAAGCGUGUAGGCUGGUUUUCCAGGCAAAUCCGGAAAACCAAGGCUGAGGCGUGAUGACGAGGCACUACGGUGCUGAAGCGACAAAUGCCCUGCUUCCAGGAAAAGCCUCUAAGCAUCAGGUAACAUCAAAUCGUACCCCAAACCGACACAGGUGGUCAGGUAGAGAAUACCAAGGCGCUUGAGAGAACUCGGGUGAAGGAACUAGGCAAAAUGGUGCCGUAACUUCGGGAGAAGGCACGCUGAUAUGUAGGUGAAGCGACUUGCUCGUGGAGCUGAAAUCAGUCGAAGAUACCAGCUGGCUGCAACUGUUUAUUAAAAACACAGCACUGUGCAAACACGAAAGUGGACGUAUACGGUGUGACGCCUGCCCGGUGCCGGAAGGUUAAUUGAUGGGGUUAGCGGCAACGCGAAGCUCUUGAUCGAAGCCCCGGUAAACGGCGGCCGUAACUAUAACGGUCCUAAGGUAGCGAAAUUCCUUGUCGGGUAAGUUCCGACCUGCACGAAUGGCGUAAUGAUGGCCAGGCUGUCUCCACCCGAGACUCAGUGAAAUUGAACUCGCUGUGAAGAUGCAGUGUACCCGCGGCAAGACGGAAAGACCCCGUGAACCUUUACUAUAGCUUGACACUGAACAUUGAGCCUUGAUGUGUAGGAUAGGUGGGAGGCUUUGAAGUGUGGACGCCAGUCUGCAUGGAGCCGACCUUGAAAUACCACCCUUUAAUGUUUGAUGUUCUAACGUUGGCCCGUAAUCCGGGUUGCGGACAGUGUCUGGUGGGUAGUUUGACUGGGGCGGUCUCCUCCUAAAGAGUAACGGAGGAGCACGAAGGUUGGCUAAUCCUGGUCGGACAUCAGGAGGUUAGUGCAAUGGCAUAAGCCAGCUUGACUGCGAGCGUGACGGCGCGAGCAGGUGCGAAAGCAGGUCAUAGUGAUCCGGUGGUUCUGAAUGGAAGGGCCAUCGCUCAACGGAUAAAAGGUACUCCGGGGAUAACAGGCUGAUACCGCCCAAGAGUUCAUAUCGACGGCGGUGUUUGGCACCUCGAUGUCGGCUCAUCACAUCCUGGGGCUGAAGUAGGUCCCAAGGGUAUGGCUG
rnacentral:rRNA from 1 species